rnacentral:rRNA from 1 species
GAUGAACGCUGGCGGCGUGCCUAAUACAUGCAAGUCGAGCGAACAGACGAGGAGCUUGCUCCUUUGACGUUAGCGGCGGACGGGUGAGUAACACGUAGGUAACCUACCUAUAAGACUGGGAUAACUUCGGGAAACCGGAGCUAAUACCGGAUAAUAUUUCGAACCGCAUGGUUCGAUAGUGAAAGAUGGCUUUGCUAUCACUUAUAGAUGGACCUGCGCCGUAUUAGCUAGUUGGUAAGGUAACGGCUUACCAAGGCAACGAUACGUAGCCGACCUGAGAGGGUGAUCGGCCACACUGGAACUGAGACACGGUCCAGACUCCUACGGGAGGCAGCAGUAGGGAAUCUUCCGCAAUGGGCGAAAGCCUGACGGAGCAACGCCGCGUGAGUGAUGAAGGUCUUCGGAUCGUAAAACGCUGUUAUUAGGGAAGAACAAACGUGUAAGUAACUGUGCACGUCUUGACGGUACCUAAUCAGAAAGCCACGGCUAACUACGUG